GAGGUCAUUUACUAAUUGUGUCGAACCAUAGAAAACAUUAUUGAGAUAAAAUGAACAAUAAUUAUUGUUAAUAAUUAUCUCAAAACCAAUUUUGUCUAAAUAAGAAAUUGAAAUAAUAUUUCUAGUCAAACUGGGCACAAAAUAACAAUCCUCCAAAAUUAAAUCAAAUCCACUAGGCAAUGAUAAUAUAUGUGUUCCUAUAGCUAAUGCAACAACUCUUGCUCUA
rnacentral:lncRNA from 1 species